rnacentral:tRNA from 1 species
UGCAUAAAAGUGUAGAGAGCAUAAAAAGUUUUGAUCUUUUAGGGGCUGGUGCAAUCCCAGUGUAUGUAA